AGCUCAGCAUUGCGUUUAAAAGUGUGCGCAGGCGGCUAUGCAAGACAGAUGUGAAAUCCCCGGGCUCAACCUGGGAACUGCAUUUGUGACUGCAUGGCUAGAGUACGGUAGAGGGGGAUGGAAUUCCGCGUGUAGCAGUGAAAUGCGUAGAUAUGCGGAGGAACACCGAUGGCGAAGGCAAUCCCCUGGACCUGUACUGACGCUCAUGCACGAAAGCGUGGGGAGCAAACAGGAUUAGAUACCCUGGUAGUCCACGCCCUAAACCGAUGUCAACUGGUUGUUGGACGGCUUGCUGUUCAGUAACGAAGCUAACGCGUGAAGUUGACCGCCUGGGGAGUACGGCCGCAAGGUUGAAACUCAAAAAAUUGACGG
rnacentral:rRNA from 2 species